UACGGGGGGGGCAAGCGUUGUUCGGAAUUACUGGGCGGUAAAGGGCUCGUAGGUGGCCAACUAAGUCAGACGUGAAAUCCCUCGGCUUAACCGGGGAACUGCGUCUGAUACUGGAUGGCUUGAGAUUGGGAGAGGGAUGCGGAAUUCCAGGUGUAGCGGUGAAAUGCGUAGAUAUCUGGAGGAACACCGGUGGCGAAGGCGGCAUCCUGGACCAACACUGACACUGAGGAGCGAAAGCCAGGGGAGCAAACGGG
rnacentral:rRNA from 1 species